UUAUCCUGGCCUGUGCUUUCUCUGCUCCUCUUUGCUCAGCUUUGACAGGGGGGUCUGGCAGGACACACAGCAAUCUUCCUGCCGUCCUGAGUAUAGAGCUGGCUUUUAAAGGCACGCAAGGACAAU